rnacentral:rRNA from 1 species
AUUUUUAUGGAGAGUUUGAUCCUGGCUCAGGAUGAACGCUGGCGGCGUGCCUAAUACAUGCAAGUCGAGCGAACAGACGAGGAGCUUGCUCCUUUGAU